CCUACGGGAGGCAGCAGUGGGGAAUAUUGCACAAUGGGCGAAAGCCUGACGCAGCGACGCCGCGUGAGGGAUGAAGGUCUUCGGAUCGUAAACCUUUGUCAGCAGGGAAGAACGGGCACUGUGCUUAUCAGCAGUGAAUUGACGGUACCUGCAAAGGAAGCACCGGCUAACUCCGUGACAGCAGCCGCGGUAAUACGGAGGGUGCGAGCGUUAAUCGGAAUUACUGGGCGUAAAGCGCUCGUAGGCGGUAUGUCAAGUCAAGGGUGAAAUCCCCGGGCUCAACGUGGGAACUGCCUUGGAAACUGGCAAGCUGGAGUGUGUGAGAGGAUAGUGGAAUUCCAGGUGUAGGGGUGAAAUCCGUAGAUAUCUGGAGGAACAUCAGUGGCGAAGGCGACUAUCUGGAACAUAACUGACGCUGAGGAGCGAAAGCGUGGGUAGCAAACAGGAUUAGAUACCCGUGUAGUC
rnacentral:rRNA from 1 species